UAGGAAUGGAUUUGUCAGAGCGUGGUGCUUUGUGUUUUGGAUUCAGGUUUCCUUAUCGCCGUGAACAGGUAGCUAGAGAUGAAUAAUAAGUCGAGACCAAUGAACCUGUUAGCAGAAUUAAAUUUCCCCAAGGAAGGUGGCAUUUCGGCUAAUAGGUGCAUAUGAACCUAUUAUAAAAAUGCAUAAAAGUCAAAAUUUAAAAACGUCAAAAUGAAUUGAAUUUCUCGAAGCAACUACUAGCUGCUGAUUCUUCUUGUAGGCUUAUGUAGGAAUAGUAUUGUUUCAACUCUUCUGAUAUGUUGAUGGUGUCGAAUAUUCUUUGUUUUUAAAAUGAGAUUGCUGUAAUAUUGUUUGAACUUUUAUAAUAUGCUGAUGCUGUUGAA